rnacentral:rRNA from 1 species
GACGAACGCUGGCGGCGUGCUUAACACAUGCAAGUCGAGCGGUAAGGCCCUUCGGGGUACACGAGCGGCGAACGGGUGAGUAACACGUGGGUGACCUGCCUCUAGCUCUGGGAUAAGCCUGGGAAACUGGGUCUAAUACCGGAUAUGACUCCACGGCGCAUGUUGGUGGGGUGGAAAGCCUUGUGUGGCUAGAGAUGGGCCCGCGGCCUAUCAGCUUGUUGGUGGGGUGAGGCCUACCAAGGCGACGACGGGUAGCCGGCCUGAGAGGGCGACCGGCCACACUGGGACUGAGACACGGCCCAGACUCCGUACGGGAGGCAGCAGGUGGGGAAUCUUGCGC